rnacentral:tRNA from 1 species
GCAGGGGUGACUUGGUGGUAGAAUUCCCACCUUCCAUGCAGGAGACCCGGGUUCGAUUCCUGGCCAAUGCA